UUGGAGGGCAAGUCUGGUGCCAGCAGCCGCGGUAAUUCCAGCUCCAAUAGCGUAUAUUAAAGUUGUUGCAGUUAAAAAGCUCGUAGUUGAAUUUCGGGAUUGACGUGAUGGUCAUGCCUUAAGGGGUAUGAACUGUUGCUGUUGAUUUCUCACCUUCUGGAGAAACUUGAUGUCCUUAAUUGGGUGUCUUGCGGAUCCAGGACCUUUACCUUGAAAAAAUCAGAGUGUUUAAAGCAGGCAUUUUUGCUCGAAUACAUUAGCAUGGAAUAAUAGAAUAGGACGGCAUGGUUCUAUUUUGUUGGUUUCUAGGAUCACCGUAAUGAUUAAUAGGGAUAGUUGGGGGCAUUAGUAUUCAAUUGUCAGAGGUGAAAUCCUUGGAUUUAUUGAAGACUAACUACUGCGAGAGCAUUUGCCAAGGAUGUUUUCAUUAAUCAAGAACGAAAGUUAGGGGAUCGAAGACGAUCAGAUACCGUCGUAGUCUUAACCAUAAACUAUGCCGACUAGGAAUCAGACGAUGUUAAUUUUUUAAUGACUCGUUUGGCACCUUACGGGAAACCAAAGUGUUUGGGUUC
rnacentral:rRNA from 1 species